rnacentral:lncRNA from 1 species
GACAACCGUGGCUUUGACAAUGCCUUCCCUCAACCCCCUUUCUGCUCCUGCUGUGACACUUGCAUUCAAGAGCAAGGACGUCUGCCAUCCGAUGCAUGGACAAUGGAAUGAGGAAUACAAGGCAGCGGGGAAGAAAGGAAAUCAGAUGAAUUCUGAGCUAAGAUGGCAGGGUUCUCACCUUUUCCAUUUUGGGGAAUUUUUUUGUUUUUUGGGUUUUUUUUUUUUUUUUUGCCAAAAAUAAAAAGUCUGGAUGGAGUCUUCCCGCAGAGAAGAAAUAAAAAGAGUGUUUGAAUUGUUGGAUGGUUCUGAAGGCUUCUGAAUUUGCAAACGAAUUUUAGAACUAUUUGCAGAGGUCUACUUGCUGCCAGUCAUCUCUCUCUCUCUCUCUUUCUCUUCUGUUUUAUGUCCUGCUAUCUCCAUCAUGCCUCUGUUACUAUGAAGACUUUCUGCCUGUGAAACCUCAAAAAAAUCGACCCUUCCGAAAACCAAUGCUCUGCCUUUCGUUUUCAAGGACAUUAAAAUAUUGCUAACUUGAAUACACAAGAAGAAAGAGGGUGGUAUAAGU